rnacentral:rRNA from 1 species
UACGUAGGGUGCGAGCGUUGUCCGGAAUUACUGGGCGUAAAGAGCUCGUAGGUGGUUUGUCGCGUUGUUCGUGAAAACCGGGGGCUUAACCCUCGGCGUGCGGGCGAUACGGGCAGACUUGAGUACUGCAGGGGAGACUGGAAUUCCUGGUGUAGCGGUGGAAUGCGCAGAUAUCAGGAGGAACACCGGUGGCGAAGGCGGCUUUCUGGACAAAUACCGACGCUGAGGCACGAAAGCUAGGGGAGCAAACAGG